UCCUCUACAGAUGACCACCGCUGUAAUAUUUUUCGUGAGAGAAAAAGAAAGAGAUCGAUAUAGAAAACAAGAGAUCGAGGGAGAAAAGAUAGAGAGAGUUAGAGAGUAAUCGGUAAAGAUUAGUUCACUCAUUUUCCCGUUCUCCACAAACACUAUUUCAUCUGAGAGAUGAGUGACGGCAGAGUAAGUACCGAUUAGGGUUUUCGAUUUAUAAAGAGAAGAAGAAGAUCUAUUCAAUUUUAGGGUUCGUUUCAGCUGAACAGCAGACCGUCAGACUAUGGUAGAUCGGUGCCUGUCUGCUCAGAAAUCUCCUCUCUAACCACGAAGAGAUUCUGCCAUUGGAUCUGAAGCUUGGAGUCACAACGUCAACCAAAGUAGGAUUCCAAGGGUUGAGAGAUGAUUUUUGAAGCUGAGAAAGAAUAGCUAGAAGGGUUUUACUAAAACAGAAAUGUUAUUAGAUUUUUUUUUUGGCGUCGAAGUUCUGUAAAUUCUUAGGCAUAAGGGAUUUAAUUCAAAAUAGUAUAACAUGAUCCACAAGUGUAUGUA